UUGGCUUUGUCUUGACACCCAAGAUACCCGCGCCUUGACUCCGGCCCUGAGUCCGUGGGAUGCUCUAGAGACGCUGCGGGUAGAAAACGAGAGGGGGCAAUAUUUUAACUGGAAAAAAAAAAAAAAUUACAGAUGAGGAAGUGGACGUCCAGAGGAGGUUUGAAGAGAAGUGACACAUGGGGUGGACUUCAAUAAAAAUCCUAAGCAGGUUCUAUUUCUCUGCUUUAAAAGGUGGGCCUGCCAGUGGCCCCCAGCGGGACUGCUCAGCCUCCACUGCCCACCCAAGACACGACCCAGUCUGUAAGCUGUGAAGCACUGGAAUAUUUGGAAAUUGGACUGGAUCACAUCAGCCUCCACUCUGGCCUCAUACAGAUGCUCCUCUAUCACUUGAAAUGCCCUGUGAACUCCAUCUUUCCCUCUUAAAGCAUCAACUAGAACUGUACAUUCCAGUCUGUUUCCAAAAAGACCUGCUGUACAAUGCUUAUGCGAUAAGGUGCACCCAAGAAAAACUUCUGUGAAGAUAUCAAGUUUGGAAUUGUUUUGCAAAUGACAGGGAUUGCUUGGAGAUAAACUGUAGUCUGGGAUAGACCACUGGCUCUCAAACUCUAAUGAGCCUCCGGAAGCCUUCUUCACCAAAAGAAAAAUCUUUUUUAACAAUUCACCAGAAGAACUUGUUAAAGCACAGAUUUUCUGGUUUGAUAGUUCAGGAAUGGGCCCCCAAUUUGCACUUCUAACAAAUCCCUAGGUGAGGCUUCUCCUGGUCUAGGGAUUAUACUUGAGAAACCAACGGAGGGAUUAUACUUGAGAAACCAACGGCCGAAACCAGGACUUCUCAAAAUGUACUGUGCAUCCAAGCACGCAAGUAUCUUGUUUAAUUUACUUCGUCUU